UGGGGUGUAGCUCAGUGCUAGAGCGUGUGCUUGGCAUGCACAGGGUCUGGGGUUCAAUCCCCAGUGCCUCUG
rnacentral:tRNA from 1 species